UACGUAGGGGGCGAGCGUUGUCCGGAUUUACUGGGCGUAAAACGCUUGUAGGCGGCCACGCCAAGUCGGACGUGAAAUCUCCCGGCUUAACUGGGAACUGCAUCCGAUACUGGAUGGCUUGAAUCCGGGAGAGGGAUGCAGAAUUCCAGGUGUAGCGGGUGAAAUGCGUAGAUAUCUGGAGGAAUACCGGUGGCGAAGGCGGCAUCCUGGACCGGCAUUGACGCUGAUGAGCGAAAGCUAGGGGAGCAACGGG
rnacentral:rRNA from 1 species